AAAGAGAGAGAGAAUGGAGAAAGGAGAGAAGUUAGGGUUUAGGAGAGAGGAAGAACAGAGAUGACAAAUCGCCAUGGGAGAUCGAAUCCAAGGCAAGAAACUUCGAAGCAAUACUUCUCUUAGUGCUGGAAAAGGAGUUCGGGUGGUGGAAUCCACUCAUUCCGGCAAGAAAAUCCGAGUACGGACAAAGUUUCUUGAAGUUCUUGGACGAGAAUCGGACAAAAAUAAGAGUUUAGUCUGACUUCGGGUAGAGCGAUCGAAAAUAGAAAAUGAGGAGAUUGAGGAGGCCUUGCCGCCACGCGUCGGCCGGCAUAUGGAGGAGCGCGGCAGGACCGACGAGUGACACGUGGCGACCGCGGGUUGGGGAGGCGUGCCCCACUGGCUAGUCGACACGCGUCAGGGCGCGGAUUCGGGUCAACCCGAGUCCGAUCCGGCGCUCCGCAUGCGACCCGGGAACACCGAACCGAACCGGCUGCUGGCCC